AAAACAUGGUUCAAACUUCAAACGCCUACUUGAACAAGGGCCAAACCCCAAAUGACGAAUCUGUUAGUUCUCUUCUCUCUACAUCGGCUCAUACGGACUGGUGGCCUUUAGUUCCAAAGAUGAUUGCGAAGAAACCCAUUCUUGAGUUUUGCUAUUUGACCUAUCAAAUCUUCGAGGCAAGGUAAUUUUUUUGGUAUUUUCAGCUUUGUAAUUGUUCAAAUGGGAAUAUAUAAUGGAAACAUCAACGAAAAAACCCAUGAUUUCCGGCAGUACAAGUGAAGGGAUUGAUAGGAUAAGUUCAUUGCCAGAUGCUGUACUCCGCAACAUCCUUUCAUCUCUCUGUAUAUUUGAUGUGGUUCAGCUGAGUAUAUUGUCGAAAAGAUAGAAAUACAUAUGGACUACUAUGCCUUACCUGCACUCUGAUCUUUGUAACUUUUAUUGUGAACGGAUCAAAGAGCCUUGUGAUUUGGCAGUUUUUGAGAAAUUCAAAUACUUUAUCAAUUGGGUCUUAGUUUCCAGAAGCGCCACUAAACUUGUCCGUUUUCUUUUGUGUUGUGCUGAUUUGUUUGGUAAGGUAGACAUUUUGAGGUUGAUUCUUGCCACAACAAAGGCGCAGUGUUCAACAACUUGUGUUAGCGUUUAAUCUCCGUGAGCCAUUUGAGCUACCAUAUUGUGUUGCAACUUGUGAAUCUUUGCAAGUUUUGAAACUACACUUGUCUAGAAAUUAACAUACUUAAACUGCUUAAUCAUUUGGGAUUUCAUCAGCUGAAAUUGCUUCAUCUUGAGGAGGUCGAGUUAUCGGACCAGUAUUUGACGAGUUACUUGUUCUCAUCUCAUCUCCUCGAAACUUUGAUCUUAGAAGAUUGUUGUUUAGGAGCUAUGACUCUACUUGAUAUUGCUUCAACAUCUCUUAUUUAUUUUACUUUAGCAAAUGACAAUCAUUAUGUGGAGAGUUACCGCAAUUGUGAAGUCAAAAUUUGUUGCCCCAAUCUCAAGUUCUUCAAAUAUCAAGCUCCAAUGCCAAAGGAUAUGAUCUUCGAGAAUCUCCCUUCAAUAGAAGACGUUCGCAUCUUCUUCAUUGAUAUUUGUGCAUAAACUGAUCACGGAGGUUCCUUCUACAUCAGUUUUGAAGCUAUGCAAGCCGACUAUUUGGGGUCUUUAUGAAGCAGUUCGCAAAGUAAGACUCUCUCCAAUCUCCUUUUAUAAGCUGAAGUCCUUAAAGCUCUACGUGAAUGUUGAUGAAGAUUUCAUGCAAGUUAUGAUAUUAUUACUCAGAUUGAGGACUGGAGUGUGAAUUGGCAGCUGCUUGAUCCUGAUGAAAGCAUCGUGUGCUUGGAAUCUCGUCUAAAGUCAAUUAAGUUGACUGGUUUCGAAGGUGAAGAAAACGAGAUAGAACUACUAAAGUUUUUUCUGAAGAAUGCACGAGUAUUGGAAAAACUGACGAUUGUCUAGGACGAAGAUGCUGAUAAAUCAGAAGAUGCAAAUGAGGAGGUUUUGAAGUUUCCAAGAACUUCUUCACAUGUUGUUCUGACAUUUCUUGAUGCCAAGCCCAUACCAAGUUGUCCUAACUGGUACAAUAGAUAUAAAAAAUGACUCGACUUGGGAGAGGAUUAUUAGAAUUUCUGGAUGUACUCUUAUUGAGAUUCUCUUCAGGGUCCAAAUCAGAACCAGACUGUAUAAGAAAUUACAUGGAAUUGUGAUGUUUAUGAAACUUCUAUUGGCCUUUCAUGUUUGAACUGCUAUAGAGUAACUAAGAAGGUCAUGUCUUUUUUCUAUGGGAAAGUAUCAAGCAGGAUGUGGUUAACUUUAUUUAAAGGGGCGGCCCGGUGCACGAAGCAUCCCGUAUUCACGCAGGGUUCGGGAAAAGUGCUGCACCCCAAGAGGUUACAAAUAUCAAAAAGUCAAUUAUGAUGUUUCAGCAUACCAAUGUUUUCUGCAACCCCUUUUUAUUCACAUUGUUUGGUCUGUAAUCAAUAUGGAUUUCAUAGAAACAUUUCUUAAUGUGUAAAGGGAUUGAUGUCUGUUGGGUCAGAGUUGAUAAGCUCAGCGAAUAUGGCCAUUUCUUGUU